rnacentral:lncRNA from 1 species
CCACUUCCUCUAAACCAUUUCUCCGCUCCAUACUAUUAUGCAACAAAGAACACUCUUUUGUAAUGUUUUGGUUUAUAUCAAAUAUUAUUAUGCAACAAAGAACACUCUUUUGUAAUGUUUUGGUUUAUAUCUAUAUAUUUGGCUCCAUUUAUAUAAAUAAAAAAAGUCAAGGACAAUAAAAUUACUGUUUCCCCGUGAUAAGGAUGUCAGUGAAUGUUCACUAUACUCCUAGUGAAACUAAA